rnacentral:tRNA from 1 species
GCGGGUGUAGCUCAAAGCCUUCCAAGCUGAAUACGAGGGUUCGAUUCCCUUCACCCGCU